GUCGGCUGUGUUUAAAAACGAGACUCAAAAAAUUUUGGUGUCGACAAUUAAUAACUGGCGACACCUAUUUAAAAAAAAAAAACAAAUGAAAACCUUUAGUGUCGCCUUAAAUAUAAAAUGGGACUCUAAAAGUUUUGGUGUCGCACAUAUAACAGACGACACCUUUCCCUCCUUAAUUUUGUUUCAUCUUAAAAGUUGAAGAGCUAGAAAAUUUUAAUAUAUGUAAUUGGUUUCGAUUAUUAGCUAGACUAUUAUUACUACCAAAGCGGUAAAGUUUCGAUUGCCUACAUCUUCCUCUCUCUCCUCAACCUCUUUCCCGCUCUACCCUCUAUAUCCCAUUCUCUCCCCUCUUUCAAUAUAUUUAUCAACCUAAUCGUUAACAAUGACCAAAGAAUCCAAGACCACGAUGGAGUCAGUCAGGUCAUGGGUCGUUCAACACAAGUUUCGUACCGUCGGUGACUAGUAAGAAGGCAGCAUUAAUCGAGUAUCAAAAUGAGUUGAGAGAAAAACUUGGUCUUACUGCUACAAUUUCCCGAGGAGUUAUCGAACUUGGCAAGCCAACAACAAAGGGUCUCGAAAGUCUCUAAGAUGGAAAGAAAUUAUAUGUUCUCGCGAACCGGAAAUGCUUGAAUGUGGCUAUUACGUCAUGAAGUACAUGUAUCAAAUAGUUUUACUUGGAUUACAAAGUAUUAGUAAUAUAGAAGAGAUAUUUUCUCCAAACCCGUGCACUCAAGAGGGGAUCGAUGAUGUUCGAGAAAAAUGGAGUAGAUAUUUUAUUAGUAGUUGUUUGUAGUCAUUUUCUAGUUUUCAGAGAUAGAAAUUAAACUAUAACGUAGGUUAUUUUUUGGAAUACAACUAUUUAUACUUUUUGAACCAACUUUCUUGUUUGAAUUAAUACAAAAAUAUUUUCGCAAUUCUGCAAAUCUGAGCUCUAUUUAUUAUUUUUGUGAAUUGAUUACGUACGUAAAAAUAAUUUAAAUUAGCGAGAACAAAAAAAAACUAGAAACAUAAUACACACUUUAGGUGUCGCCUCCUAUAAUUACAUGCGACUCCUUAUGGUUAAUUAAUAUAUAUUGUUUUAAAAAUAAUACUUUCCUUGUCGCCUUUUGGUAUAAUAGGCGACUCAAAAUGGGUAAAAACGUUUAAAAAUUAAUUCGGAAAAUACUUUGGAAAAAUUGACAAAGACAGUUCCAACUAUGGACGUUCAUCUUUAAAAGGGUCCAACUACAAAUUAUUACUGGCAGGUCCUAACUAAAUGGGGUGAUAACUUUGCGUGGGCCUUUUAACCGGAUACCGGUUAAAUAAGUUAAAGUGUUUGAUUUUUGAUUUUAUAUUUAAUUUACCUUUUUUUCUAAAUAAUUUGAGGGAAGAAAUAGGCUGGCACGUGUUUUUAUUCUCCAUCAUCCAUUUAGUCCUCCAACUCUUUCUUCUUCCUAUUCCACUCACUCCUCUGUAAGAAAAUACCCUCACCACCAGUCCACCACCACUCCCACCAGUAUCUCGAUCUCCUCAUCCUCCCUCUUCUCCUUUCUGUUUUCUCUCUCCUCCUCCUUCCUCCUUUUAAUACCAUCCUUCAUCGGUCCUCUUCGCUCUUCAUCAGCUGCCUUUUGUUCUCUCUUUAAUUAGUUGAUUUCAGUGGUUUAUUGGGGGAAAAUUGUGUGUCAACUGUAGCAAAAUUGAUUACUUUUUGCGGGUUAGUGUUUUCAAUUUUUGGGAUUUUCAACCCAAUUCAUAGUUUCGGAUAGAGGUGGAUGUUUCGGUGACAGGGUGGUUCGGUGAUCAUUUUGCAAGCCGGAGCAACAAGUUUACCCUGACAUCGGUGAACUGUCAGGCUUGUUUUUUCCGGUGAACUCGCUAAGCACGCCGUUUCUAUUUUACUAUCUCUUAAAUAAGGUUUUAGUGUUCUUUUCCGUUGAAUUUGGGGG